GUCAAGUCCUCAUGGCCCUUAUGGGUAGGGCUUCACACGUCAUACAAUGGUCGGGACAGAGGGUCGCCAACCCGCAGGGGGAGCCAAUCCCAGAAACCCGAUCGUAGUCCGGAUUGCAGGCUGCAACUCGCCUGCAUGAAGUCGGAAUCGCUAGUAAUCGCGGAUCAGCAUGUCGCGGUGAAUACGUUCCCGGGUCUU
rnacentral:rRNA from 1 species